AAGUCGUGAACCUGCGGAAGGAUCAUUAACACGUAUCCAACGUUAAACCCCCCUGUGAACCUUCAGUGCGCUCGCACUUUCUUAGAAAAGGUAGCAAUCCCUGGUAAAUCAUUGCCGAACAGUUUUGAUUCAAGGACUUCUGCGUAGACUGUGCUUGAGCGUGAGGCAAGUGGCCUGGCAUUCCUCUGCUUGUUGGUGCGCGAGCCCCCCUCGUCACCUUUGCAUGAAAACGGGCCUGCGCUUAAUUGUGCGGCCACCAAACUCGAACAACUGUUAACAAUGGAUAUCUUGGUUCUC
rnacentral:misc_RNA from 1 species